UGGCUCGAGGACGAACGCUGGCGGCGUGCUUAACACAUGCAAGUCGAACGGUAAGGCCCCUUCGGGGGUACACGAGUGGCGAACGGGUGAGUAACACGUGGGUAAUCUGCCCUGCACUUCGGGAUAAGCCUGGGAAACUGGGUCUAAUACCGGAUAUGAGCUCCUGCCGCAUGGUGGGGGUUGGAAAGUUUUUCGGUGCAGGAUGAGUCCGCGGCCUAUCAGCUUGUUGGUGGGGUAAUGGCCUACCAAGGCGACGACGGGUAGCCGGCCUGAGAGGGUGAUCGGCCACACUGGGACUGAGACACGGCCCAGACUCCUACGGGAGGCAGCAGUGGGGAAUAUUGCACAAUGGGCGAAAGCCUGAUGCAGCGACGCCGCGUGGGGGAUGACGGUCUUCGGAUUGUAAACCCCUUUCAGUAGGGACGAAGCGCAAGUGACGGUACCUGCAGAAGAAGCACCGGCCAACUACGUG
rnacentral:rRNA from 1 species